rnacentral:rRNA from 1 species
UACGUAGGGUGCAAGCGUUAUCCGGAAUUAUUGGGCGUAAAGAGCUCGUAGGCGGUUUGUCACGUCUGCUGUGAAAACUGGGGGCUCAACCUCCAGCCUGCAGUGGGUACGGGCAGACUAGAGUGCGGUAGGGGAGAUUGGAAUUCCUGGUGUAGCGGUGGAAUGCGCAGAUAUCAGGAGGAACACCGAUGGCGAAGGCAGAUCUCUGGGCCGUAACUGACGCUGAGGAGCGAAAGCAUGGGGAGCGAACAGG